CCACUUGCUUCAACAGUGCAUAUACUAAAAUAGGAUACAGAGAAGAUUGGCAUGGCCCCUGCACAAGGAUGAUAUGCAAAUUUGUGAAGUGUUCCAUAUUUCU
ensembl:snRNA U6 U6 spliceosomal RNA